GCUGGCGGCAGGCCUAACACAUGCAAGUCGAGCGCACCUUCGGGUGAGCGGCGGACGGGUUAGUAACGCGUGGGAACGUACCCUUUUCUACGGAAUAGCCUUUGGAAACGAAGAGUAAUACCGUAUACGCCCUUUGGGGGAAAGAUUUAUCGGAGAAGGAUCGGCCCGCGUUAGAUUAGAUAGUUGGUGGGGUAACGGCCUACCAAGUCUACGAUCUAUAGCUGGUUUUAGAGGAUGAUCAGCAACACUGGGACUGAGACACGGCCCAGACUCCUACGGGAGGCAGCAGUGGGGAAUCUUAGACAAUGGGCGCAAGCCUGAUCUAGCCAUGCCGCGUGAGUGAUGAAGGCCUUAGGGUCGUAAAGCUCUUUCGCCUGUGAUGAUAAUGACAGUAGCAGGUAAAGAAACCCCGGCUAACUCCGUGCCAGCAGCCGCGGUAAUACGGAGGGGGUUAGCGUUGUUCGGAAUUACUGGGCGUAAAGCGCACGUAGGCGGAUUGGAAAGUUGGGGGUGAAAUCCCGGGGCUCAACCCCGGAACUGCCUCCAAAACUAUCAGUCUAGAGUUCGAGAGAGGUGAGUGGAAUUCCAAGUGUAGAGGUGAAAUUCGUAGAUAUUUGGAGGAACACCAGUGGCGAAGGCGGCUCACUGGCUCGAUACUGACGCUGAGGUGCGAAAGUGUGGGGAGCAAACAGGAUUAGAUACCCUGGUAGUCCACACCGUAAACGAUGAAUGCCAGUCGUCGGGCAGUAUACUGUUCGGUGACACACCUAACGGAUUAAGCAUUCCGCCUGGGGAGUACGGUCGCAAGAUU
rnacentral:rRNA from 1 species